CAGAAACUUCUCUUUUGGGGCAAGAGGAACUUGUUUAACACUAACUACAAUAAUUUAUCCAAGUUAAAAGGGACUGUUUGGGUACUAGCAGGACACCAGAACAUUCUUGGAAAAGUUUGAAUUUCAGAGUAGUGUCCCAACUGAUCCAGGUGUCUCUCAAAGGCCAGAAGAGCUAUCAGGAUCUUGUCAAGGAAAAGAAAGAAAUAUUCCUGGCAUCGCCAACUCUAGAGCCGAGAUGGGAAAAAAAAGCAGAUGACAUCACCAUAAGGAGGGAGAAAUGAUCUUCAGAUGGACAGGCUGGGAAGGAAGAAAGAUUCUUCUUCCUCUUUCAGAUUGGGAGGCAACAGAUGCUAAGAUCACCCAUGAUACAGUAGCUGAAGGUUCUGUGGAGAUAACAUUACCAUGUAUUUUUGAGAAAAAAAUGGAAGUUUCCAGCCCUCCCGCUUGCAGAGAGAAAUCUGAAACCGUGAGCUGAGCACAGAAAUGAGAAAGAGCAAGGACAGGCUUAGAAAUGAGGCGAAGAAAAAGCACCCAUUUAAAAAAAUGGUUUGAAGGUGGGGUUGACUUUUGACUGUUGGCCAUACGGGUGAUGUUGAAUGUAGAGUGAUCAGAUAAUA